AUACGUAGGGGGCAAGCGUUGUCCGGAAUUAUUGGGCGUAAAGGGUGCGUAGGCGGCCUUUUAAGUCAGAUGUGAAAGCCCACGGCUUAACCGUGGGACUGCAUUUGAAACUGGAGGGCUUGAGUAUCGGAGAGGGUAGUGGAAUUCCCAGUGUAGCGGUGGAAUGCGUAGAUAUUGGGAGGAACACCAGUGGCGAAGGCGACUACCUGGACGAAAACUGACGCUGAGGCACGAAAGCUAGGGGAGCAAACAGGAUUAGAUACCCUGGUAGUCCUAGCCGUAAACGAUGGGUACUAGGCGUAGGAGGUUUCGAUACCUUCUGUGCCGCAGUUAACGCAAUAAGUACCCCGCCUGGGGAGUACGUGCGCAAGCAUGAA
rnacentral:rRNA from 1 species